GAUGAACGCUGGCGGCGUGCCUAAUACAUGCAAGUCGAGCGAACAGAUAAGGAGCUUGCUCCUUUGACGUUAGCGGCGGACGGGUGAGUAACACGUGGGUAACCUACCUAUAAGACUGGGAUAACUUCGGGAAACCGGAGCUAAUACCGGAUAAUAUUUCGAACCGCAUGGUUCGAUAGUGAAAGAUGGUUUUGCUAUCACUUAUAGAUGGACCCGCGCCGCAUUAGCUAGUUGGUAAGGUAACGGCUUACCAAGGCGACGAUACGUAGCCGACCUGAGAGGGUGAUCGGCCACACUGGAACUGAGACACGGUCCAGACUCCUACGGGAGGCAGCAGUAGGGAAUCUUCCGCAAAGGGCGAAAGCCUGACGGAGCAACGCCGCGUGAGUGAUGAAGGUCUUCGGAUCGUAAAACUCUGUUAUUAGGGAAGAACAUACGUGUAAGUAACUGUGCACGUCUUGACGGUACCUAAUCAGAAAGCCACGGCUAACUACGUG
rnacentral:rRNA from 1 species